AUUUUAUUAUGUGGCUUAUUAUUUAUUUAUUUGAUUUAUUUAUACAAUAUUUUACCAGGAAGGAUACAUUGAGAUUUCUCUCAUUUUCAAGUAUGUCCUGGGUCCACAAACAUUACAUUGUUACCAUAGGGUACAGUAUAUUAAAAAUACAAAAACAAUAUGCGGAUUACUUAAAAUGUACAGAUGACCAUGCACCCAGAGCUUGAAGGAAUUUAUACACACACCACUAAGGCAACAACUUGGUUCAACUGGCUUUAUGUAGACACCCAUUGAGACUUAAAAACCAAG